rnacentral:rRNA from 1 species
UAGGGAAUUUUCCACAAUGGACGAAAGUCUGAUGGAGCAACGCCGCGUGCAGGAUGAAUGUCUUCGGAUUGUAAACUGCUUUUAUAUGUGACGAUUAUGACGGUAGCAUAUGAAUAAGGAUCGGCUAACUCCGUGCCAGCAGCCGCGGUCAUACGGAGGAUCCAAGCGUUAUCCGGAAUUACUGGGCGUAAAGAGUUGCGUAGGUGGCAUUGUAAGUAGAUAGUGAAAGCGUGGGGCUCAACCUCAUAACCAUUAUCUAAACUGCAAAGCUAGAGGACGAGAGAGGUGAUUGGAAUUCCCUGUGUAGGAGUGAAAUCCGUAGAUAUAGGGAGGAACACCGAUGGCGUAGGCAGAUCACUGGCUCGUUCCUGACACUAAGGCACGAAAGCGUGGGUAGCAAACGGGAUUAGAUACCCCGGUAGUCCACGCCGUAAAACGAUGGAUGCUAGCUGUUAGAGGUAUCGACCCCUCUAGUAGCGAAGCUAACGCGUUAAGCAUCCCGCCUGUGGAGUACGGUCGCAAGACUAAAACUCAAAUGAAUUGACGGGGUCAUAGCUG